UAGCCUGUGAGGAAAUCUAUUAUUAAAAAACACCAUCUUUCGGGACUGAAUGGCCUCUUUUGGCCUUGCUGAUAAUUCUGCAAUUCUGAGGCCU
rnacentral:snoRNA from 1 species